UUUAUUUAUCCCGAUUACCCCAAUGAUUAUCCUUCGAAAAGGCUUAGCCUCUUGGUAAAACAAAUUUAAUUUCCAUAUAGGUAGGAUAUCUUAUAAAACUGUCCCACUUCAAAAUCUCGUCACAUAAUAAGCAUAAAGUUGAAGCAUCUUAAAAGGUAUGAUUUUUAGGACAUAUUAAUUUACUUAAUAAGUAGGCAUUGAACAUACGGUAUUUUUUUAUGGUUUAUCUAAGCAACAGCCACAUUAUCAUGACCCACAAUUCUAUGAAGUCCUUAACAAUAGGUUUUAUUUAUCCCGAUUACCCCAAUGAUUAUCCUUCGAAAAGGCUUAGCCUCUUGGUAAAAUAUACUUAUAAUCCCUAUAGGUAGGGUGUGUUAUAAAACUGUCCCAAUUCAAAUAGAGUCUCGUAAUAAACAAAAGUUAAAGCAACGCGAAGGAUGGGAUUUUUAGGGCAUACUAAAAUAAAUAAUAGGCAUUGAACAUACGGAAUUUUUAUAUGGUAUAUCUAAACAACUGCAACAUUACUCCCACAAUUAUAUUAACUCUUUAACAAGAUAUUUUAUUUAUCCCAAUUACCCCAAUGAUUAUCCUUCGAAAAGGCUUAGCCUCUUGGUAAAAUAUACUUAUAAUCCCUAUAGGUAGGGUGUGUUAUAAAACUGCCCCAAUUCAAAUAGAGUCUCGUAAUAAACAAAAGUUAAAGCAACGCGAAGGAUGGGAUUUUUAGGG